GAAAGAGAAAUAGAAAGAGGCGUGAAAACCAGAGGCUGUAACGGAGAAGAUGAAGAAAACUUCUUCAAGCACCGCAAUCAGCAGAUUCAUCGUCAACAAUCGAUUGGGAAUCGAAAAUUAUUUUCCUAUCUCUCUUCUAUUGUUCUUUUUCUCUCAGAUCUAUAAGUUUUGAGAAAAAUAUCUCUGAGAAAUUUCAAUAUGAUUUCAUGAAAAUCUGAAAAUUUCUUUCAAAAUCUUCAUUGAAAACAAGUUUUGAUUGUAGAUCCACAGUAAACAAACCUUGUUCUACAAACCCAUGAAGGGAUUUUUCUCUAAAAAUUACAAAAAUAGGGAUUUCUAGCCUGAUUUAGUUUUCCCCUGUGAAUGAAAUUCAAUGAGUUGUUGAUGAUAUAUCUCGUUCUUCAUACGAUUUAAUAACCCAAACGAUUUGCUGAUUGCAGCUGUACCACGAAGAUGGAAGAAGCUGCACGAGUAAGAUCGGAGCAGCAACAACAGCUCAGAAACAUAGGUCAUCAUCAACAUCGCCACCAACUCGUGGUGAUACCUCUUAUCCAAUAGGACACACUAUCUCGUACACCUCAGAUAAAGCCUCAAACUCGGACGAGAACCAAUAUCAGAUAAAACAAUCAACAUGAAUAUGAACACGGCUUCCAUCAACAGCUUUGCCUGAUUUAGGAAAGAUGAUAAUCGGGAUAAAAUCUCUUCACCAGCAGCGUGACUAAUUCGAGGAGUUACCUCGUACAGCUCAACUUGGAGCAACCAGUCUACACAGCUCAAUCUAGAGCAUUCAUCUCGGAUAAUAAAGCAACAGACAGGCGUCGGAACGAAGACCAGUCAUCUCGUACAGUUCAGUCAAGAGAAUCAAUCUCGGACGGAAAACGAUAAGAGAAUCCAAUCGGACGAACCAUACUCGUAUUGGCAGUACUUCUCAACUCAGAGCCGCAACCUCAGAUCGAAAAGAUACCUCCUAUCUGCUCGUGAAGAAAUAACCAGCACGAGGGGAGACGGUCAGAGCAAGAUCUCAUACUCACCAAUCUCGGUUGAGAAACCAACAAGACAACCAGAGCAUGAACUCGGAUGCCUCACUAUCUUAGCCUGAUUUUGGGCCAUUUUCCUUACUCUCUCUUCGUGUUGUCUUCCAUAACAAUUGUUAAACGAAAUCAACAGAUAAUGUGAUUACUAAUCUAGUUGGCUUGUUGCUGCAGAAAAACGAUGGCGGUCGAAAUCACAUCGGAAUCACCAGCUCGUGCUCAACUCGAGACCAACUCGUGGAGCCUAUUAGAGCUCGGACUCAUCAGUCCAUCUCCGAGCACCAACCUCGGACAAGCAAUUAACAGAACAACCAGCACGAUGGGAGUCAGUCAGAGCAUGAUCUCGGACUCACCAGUUGUUCGGUCUAGAAGCACGAACUCGGAUCGUACAUUGGGUUCGGACGAGGAGCAUCAUCUCAGACUUGUCACCCGACCAAAACUCGGAUAACACUUUAUCCCACAUCUAUUUCUGAAUACAUGAGAUGCUAGAUUAGUUUUAUCUAAACGCUUCAUAUUCAAUAAAUGAUUGAUAUUUUGAAUAUAGGGAAAUUUAAUACAUUUCAUGACCAACAGGUGCAUGAUGAAAUGCUCUACAGAGGGGCUAUGGUAUGGAUUCAGUCUCGGACGAACAACCAUAGCUCAAUAUAUUUCGGACUUACCAAGUCAUCGGUCAAUAAGCACGAACUCUGAUUGCAUGAGGUUAUCAGAUGCGAGCAGGAUCUACUCGGAAUCACAUGAUGUUCAACCAGAGCAUGUCAGACUAUCCAAGUGAAUGGAGCAUGAACUCGGACUCAACAGUCCCUCUCUGAGCACCAAAUCGGAUAGCAUUCCUCUCUUACCUUAUCUCUUGAUUUCUUUUAAAUAGCUAGAUGCUUUAUAUGCCUAAAUGCUUUGAAUCAAGAGAAAUUUGAUACAUUUCAUGACCAACAGGUACAUGAUAACAUACUAUACAGCAGGACUCUUUUAUAGCGUCUGUUUUAGAUGGUCAUUUCAAGACCAAUAAUCUUAUGAUGUCGAAAACAUUCAUCUCGGGUCAUCCACGACGAUGCAUCCGUACUCACCAAUCUCACCGCUAGAGCUACAAAUCCAAAUAGGAGAAAUUCUUAUCUCUUUAUCUUUGAAAUCUAUUAUGUUGCAGAUCUCUAAAGUAGACAAAUGCAUUCUAUCAAGCUCACAAGCUACAAUAGAAUCUACUAUAACAUGAUAUAUUGUCUUUAACUUCUUCGAUUAAACUUCGAUGGAAAUACACAGGGGUUGGAAUAAGUCUCCAGUACAAAGAAACGAGGGACACGAUCCAAUAAACAACUAUCUAGCCUAGCAGCAGGCUAAGGAAUUUGAGAGGCAAAACACAACCUCAUGACAAAGACUACAAAGCUAAAGGACAAUACGCUCUCCUACCAUUCUUGCCAGUCUAAGGACAAACAGGGCAGUUUCUAACUCAUAUAUUGAAUAUAUAAAUGCCUAACCAAGGCACGAUUUUUCGUAAGAGCAAGCUAAGAAAAUAUCUAGUCGCAAAGAAUCAGGCCGAUAUAUGUAUCGCACUGGUAAUCUAGCGUGCCUGCUCCACAACGAGCAUCACAUUAAAUGAUAAUGUGACACCUUAUCGCAUGAAACUGAACAGAAAUUGUUUAUUUAUAGUAAAUGCCUUAAAAUUAUUAAAUGCUUUUAACAUUAUGAUGUAUUAACAUUUCAUGUUUUGCAGCAAAUCUCCAUUAUGGUUGGAGAAUUCAGCUAAGUCGGAUUAAUUAUCCGCAUAAAGAAAAAGUCGGGUUAGACGUAAUCCGCAUAAAGGCAUGCUUAUCAUGCAUUAGGAACUAGCAUUGUUCUAGAUAAAGUUAGAGUCAGAUUAGUUGAAAUCUGCAUAAAGACAUGCUUAUCAUACACUAAGGUUAGAGUCGGAUUAGUCGUAAUCCGCAAUAAAGCUAUUAUUGUGUUUCUGUCUUCUUGCAGGUACACUUGAUGUAUGUAUGGUACAUAUGCUGGUUAUAUAUAUGUGUUUUCCUACAGGGUUAAAUGGUGUAUCAUACAUACAUCCUCCUCUUUUUCUAUAUGUAUGUGUUUGCUUGCAGGGAAAUUUGAUGAAUGUUGAAUGAAUGUGAUAUAAAUAUCUCCCUCUUGUCAUAUCUGUGUUUUCCUGCAGGGUAACUUAGUGUUCUUAAUAUGAAAUUUGUCUAUCACCGAUGGUAAUUGGGGCAUGAUCCCCAUCCGAGAAAACAUCUUCUCGAGAUGGUAAUUGGGGAACGAUUCCCGUCCGAGAAAACAUCUUCUCGAGACUAUUACGAAUAAUAUCUCGGUAAACCAAACCCUCGUGCGAGAAAAUAUCUUCUCAAAACCAUCACGAGGGUAAUCAGGCCAUGAGCCCCAUACAAGAAAACCUAUUCUCAAUGCCAUAUGAUUUAUUUUCAUGUGAUUGUUUUAUUCAUUAUUUGGAUCUGUUGAAUGCAUGAAUUAUAUAUGUUGUUUGCAGGUUCACUCACUUAGUAUUGUUCCAUCACGAAUGGUAAUCAGGAUACUAGUCCUGUGCGAGAAAACAUCUCCUCAGGACCAUCACGAAUGGUAAUAGGGGCAUGACCCCCUGUGCGAGGAAACAUCUCCUCAAGACCAUCACGAAUGGUAAGGUGCUAGCCACACCAUUUCAUCCUAAAACAUGAUGAUGCGAGCAAUGCUCAAGCUACCUGAGACGGACACAUUGACCUAGGGUGUAUCCUGUACUUCAUGAGGUACCCUAUAGUUGACUCACUUUAGGCUGAAGUGUGAAUCAACUAUCAGAGGUAUCGCCCUCACUCUAGUUAGCGCCACGAUCCGACUAUGGAGCAUAAGCCUUCCCAAAGAGAAGCGCUAUACAUAAUUUACGAAUAUAUGUCUAAUAGAGGCGUAUAUACUUGGCAUCAGAAGGAUCCUUGAAAUCCUCUUGACUUGUAUUUCAAGAGGCUAUACGGUCAAAUGGGAAGUUGAUCACUUCUCGGACAUAUAUCCCACAACUUGUCCAAGGACGGAAGGGAUACCACUAUGGUGCAAGCUACAGGCAAUAACAUCAUAACUGAUAUAUUCAGAAAAUGGAGUUAGGGGCAAACCUUGACUUUGGAUUUCUAAAGCUAUAAGCUCUUAAGCUUCCAAAAACCAAAGGGGGCAGUAUAUACCCUCGAUACUUUCAUAUUGAGGCAAUCUGUAAUUCCUCGGGGCAGGACUUCGGAUUACGAUCCGAAGGCAUUUUGAGUCCCCUCAGAUAUAAGCCUCCAAUUGGAGCACGAAGUAAGACCUCAGACUCCACUCCGAAGGCAUUCAACGAAAUCUUACGUCCACACGAUUUGAGGCAAACAGUAAGUCCUCGGGGCAAGGCUUCGGACUACCAUCCGAAGACAUUUUGAGUCCCCACAGAUAUGAGCAUCUGAUAUAUCUCGGAACCAAAACAAGACCUCGGACCGCCAUCCGAAGGCAUCUGAUAAAUCUUAUAGCAGCACGAUUUGAGGCAUUUAGUAAGCCCUCGGAGCAUGACCUCGGACUGCAAUCUCAAAUUCGUUUGGCAGACCCCACAAUGAUGAAUUACACACAACGCUUUUCACACACAGAGCAUAUAUGUUGAAUUGUACCCAUAAAUAUGAAUCCUCAUCACUCGGAGAAAGGAACAAGCUACAGAUGUAAAGGCAAUCAACCAAAUUUUGAAGAAAGCUGAGUAUCACCUUUAUUAAGGAGCUAUGUUACUGUGCAUCCCACUAAAAUUCUUCUCACAUAAUGCUUAAUAGCUUUUUAUAUAGCUUAAAUAGAUCGCAUAUGCCUGAAUACAAAUUAUUCAUACCGUAAACAUGCUUAAUGAUAUCAAAUAUCUUAUUUGUCUAUGCAAAUGCAAGACUUUGAACUGUUCUUAUCUCUUACAACUAUAGUACUUGAUUGCUAUAAUGUUUAUGCUUAUGAAGAAAAGUAAAUCUUAAACUUAUAUUUCUGCAAUAUAGUAAUUACUACUCUCUCUUGAGAAACAGGUACCCGUGAUGGUCCCGAGAAGCACUACACGACAAGUCGCCAAGAACCGAUGCUAACCAAGCCAAACGGAGCUGGAGCACAAACCUCCAAGGAACAACCACAACGAUCACGAACACAGGGACUGCCUAAUAACUUCACACAAGAAUAGGGGCAAGUAUUAAUACUUUAAAAGCUGGUUAUAUUCUACUGCGAAGUUCCUUCAGCAACAACACAGGUCCACGAAGCUCGUACUACACACCACCAACUGAAGUCAUGAACCAACUCCAGCAAAGAAUCAAAGACCAAGAAUUGAGAUCGACCUCGCACUGUUACUCGGAGUCGCAACUCGCACAACUACAUCGUGUAGCACAGAUCACAGAUCGUGAAGCACAAGCAUCGCAACAACCAACUCGGACGACCCCAACCAAACACUCUACAGAAGUAAAGUCUAACUACAAGCCAGAUCAGAACCAAGCAUGUUCAGAAAUCUCUCUCAGCCACUCUUCUCGUCCUCAAAGCCAUACCGAUGAUGAUUUUCUUAAGGAUUAUUGUUCCAACAACCCUCAACCAAAUGAGCAAAAUGUGAGGGAAAAAGAUGAGCUCGCAACGUGGCGCAGGAUUAAGAGCCGAAGAAUCCUAGUAUAAUACAACCUACUAGACAAUGUACACCCAACCACUUAGUCUUAGCCUAUCUAGUCAGUCCUAGGGACGCAUAUGUAAUUUAAUGUAAACACCUACCCUAUAAAAUAGAAAGAGGAAUAGGUUAGAAGGGAUGGUCUGUUAGCUAAGGCUACCCUCCUCUCUCUCUCUGAUGGCCUCCAUAGGUCUUCUUCUUCUUCCUUAGAGCUCUAUGAGAGCCUCUCCAGUGGAGAUCUUGUAAACACCUCACAACAUAGUGAAAUCCGUUGAUGUAGGUCACAAUUGACCGAACCACGUAAAAAGAUCUGUCUCCCUUUACAUUUCUGCACUUUAUCUUCUUUUAUGUGUGUUAAUGUAUGUUUUGAUGGUUAAGAUCA